rnacentral:rRNA from 1 species
UACGUAGGGGGCAAGCGUUGUCCGGAAUCAUUGGGCGUAAAGCGCGUGUAGGCGGUUCGGUAAGUCCGCUGUGAAAGUCGGGGGCUCAACCCUCGGAUGCCGGUGGAUACUGUCGGACUAGAGUCCGGAAGAGGCGAGUGGAAUUCCCGGUGUAGCGGUGAAAUGCGCAGAUAUCGGGAGGAACACCAAUGGCGAAGGCAGCUCGCUGGGACGGUACUGACGCUGAGGCGCGAAAGCGUGGGGAGCAAACAGG